UGAACUUUGCAUCCAAUUUUAAGGGCUGUUCUGAUAACUGUAAGCCCUUUUUAAAAUGAACAUAAGUUUUUCCUGAAUUGUGCUUUUACCUUUAAAAGAAUCUUAAAUGAAAAAUUUCUUCUUUUUAUUUUCUCGCACAGCAAGAGGCAGAUAAGACCUCUGUAACGUAAAAUCAGAGCAGAUUAGUAUACCUCAACUAUGCUCGUUAAUUGUGUUGCAUCUUACCAAUCAUAUCUCGGAGGUUUGCAAUUCCGUACAUUUGUUCCGCUCUGCGUUAAAACUAUUCAUCUUGCAUUUGGUUUGCGAUCCUAAGGAACUAUGGACAUCAACCAACAUCGUGGCCAUAGAUUGUUGCCAGUAUUUUAACACUUUCAUGGUUGAGAUGUUUCAUGAGCUGUUGCAUAUAAAACAUGGGCUGGCGACUCUUUCAAGCAGCUGCGAUUGAUAGCGUCAGUCUGCGAGUUUUUAGACAAUCUUGUACCUGUCAGCAUAGCAAUGAGGGUAGUCCCAAAAGUUCUGCAAGAAAUUCUAUCCCAUGCAAUUUUAGAUCCUAUAUUGCUUUUCCUGUAUCCUAAAUUACAUGGUUUCAUCUGCCAAUAUGGUAACAUUUUUCAGAAUCAUUUCUAACAAGGAGGACAUAGAGCUUUCAAUCGACGUCACUUUAAAAUUGCUAGCUAAUGGCUGCAGUGAUAUUCGGUCGUUCAUGUAUAGCGAGUGUCAUAAAUUGAUUACCUCCAAGUUAGGAGUUGAACAAGCGGUCAAAUCGUCAGAUCCAGUUCCUCACUUGAAAUUCUUGUUGAACUCGGAGGUCAUCUCAGAGAUUGCUCUGUAUGGUGUUUUUGACGAUAUUCCUGAGGUUAGUUUCUCUCCUGGUAAUAUAUUGGGCAUUUGUAAAUUUUUUCCCACCAGCUUUAUA
rnacentral:lncRNA from 1 species